AUGCCCUACGGGGGGCAGCAGUGAGGAAUAUUGGUCAAUGGACGAGAGUCUGAACCAGCCAAGUAGCGUGAAGGAUGACUGCCCUAUGGGUUGUAAACUUCUUUUAUAUGGGAAUAAAACGUUCCACGUGUGGGAUUUUGUAUGUACCAUAUGAAUAAGGAUCGGCUAACUCCGUGCCAGCAGCCGCGGUAAUACGGAGGAUCCGAGCGUUAUCCGGAUUUAUCGGGUUUAAAGGGAGCGUAGGUGGAUUGUUAAGUCAGUUGUGAAAGUUUGCGGCUCAACCGUAAAAUUGCAGUUGAAACUGG
rnacentral:rRNA from 1 species